rnacentral:rRNA from 1 species
UACGGGGGGGGCAAGCGUUUUUCGGAAUUACUGGGCGUAAAGGGCGCGUAGGCGGGCGGGCAAGUCCCUCGUGAAAGCCCACGGCUCAACCGUGGAAUUGCGGGGGAAACUGCUCGUCUUGAGUCCGGGAGAGGAGUGUGGAAUUCCCAGUGUAGCGGUGAAAUGCGUAGAUACUGGGAGGAACACCGGUGGCGAAGGCGGCACUCUGGACCGGUACUGACGCUGAGGCGCGAAAGCUAGGGGAGCAAACGGG